GGGGGUGUAGCUCAGUUGGGAGAGCACCUGCCUUGCAAGCAGGGGGUCAGCGGUUCGAAUCCGCUCAUCUCCACCA
rnacentral:tRNA from 3 species